rnacentral:lncRNA from 1 species
CCUUGGUUGCAGGGCAGAGAUGGACCCUCGGAGACUUCCCAAGUCUCAGAUCCUACUUCCUCGAACGGAGCACCGACCUCGGGGUUCGGUUCAACGGUCGCUCCUUCGGUCACGUGCACUAUACGCAAAAUGAUGAAUGCUCAUGAUAUGCAUAUGACAAAUAUGCAAGAAGGACCAAGUCGAGUACAACUUGCCUUCUCGGUGCAACAUAGACUAAACAAUAAUUAAAGUUGUUUAACAUCUUAGUGUCUUUACCCAAGAGGUUACAUCUGUAAAUCAAGAUUUCUCUUAAUUCAUAAUUAUUCUUAAUUAACUAAUUAUUAAACCUUUUUACCUUAAUUAACUCUUAAUUAAUUAUUAAUGACAGUAGUUAAGCAUUAAUGCCAAACAAUAAUUAAAUGCCAAAGGUCAUUAAGGUUAAUGACCUUAGGUCAUCACACAAUCCCAAAAUCACUUAAAUCCUAAUUAUGAGGAUUUAACUAAUUAUUAUCUAAUGAUUUUAGCAUUAUUAUUUAAUUAUUCAUUAAGGGUUUAAUAAUAUUUUAUUCCAACAUUAUCCAAAUGCCACCAAAUUUUGUGCGGAGCCAGGGAAUAAUAUUCAGAGGCAUCCCACAAAUUUUGGUGAUUUUUGGACAUAUAAAUAAAUUAUUAAAAUUCCUAGAAGUUGUAUUUACUAAUUAAAAGAGGCAAUUUUUAUACACAUGCAAACUACCAGAAAAUAAAACUUAACAUUUUUCUUGUGUUCUACUUAUUCUAUGGAACCUAUACAAAAAUUUUCAUACUUUUUGGAUCAAUGCACAAUUUAUUACACAAAUACAACAUAAAGCAAAAACUGCACAAAAAGAAAAAGAAAAAAACACUGCGCAUCGAGCAGCCGGGAAAUCGGCCCGCAGGCAGGCCCGCUUACGCCCAGCCCACACGGGCGCUACGUGCACGCUCUCCCCCUCACGCGGUCACUGACGGGCGGGUCCCGCCCGUCAGCUCCGUCUUCUACCUUGCGCCGCGACUUCGGCGAGCUCUCGGCCUCCGCAGUGAGGCGCGCUAGCUUCCCCAACCUCCCGCGCAUCCAUAGACACCCUUUGCACCCACUCUCUCCUAUCCUAGCCCCCGUGACCACGGGCACGGCGGACGGCCGCCUCGGCCGAGCAAACGCCGGCCACUACGAGCGAGUAGAGCGCAAACCAAAGGACGCAUGAGCAUCAGGGGCUCACCACGACUUCAACAGAGCAAGAAGCAGC